CCCCUAGAUGUUCUGGGCCGCACGCGCGCUACACUGAACAGUUCAACAAGUCUUAACCUUGGCCGAUAGGUCUGGGUAAUCUUUGAACGCUGUUCGUGAUUGGGAUAGACCUUUGCAAUUAUGGGUCUUCAACGAGGAAUUCCUAGUAAACGCAAGUCAUCUGCUUGCAUUGAUUACGUCCCUGCCCUUUGUACACACCGCCCGUCGCACCUACCGAUUGAAUGGUCCGGUGAAAUCUCGGGACGGCGGCUUGGUCGCUUGCGUCCGACUGCUGAAACUUGAUUAAACCAUAUCAUUUAGAGGAAGGUGAANUCGUAACA
rnacentral:rRNA from 1 species